GCCGGGCUUGGUAACGUGAGCUUGUAACCCAAGUGGGGGCGAUAAAGUGGUGGAAUAUUGGGUUGACCCAGAAGGCAGGACUUUGUGGGCUAAUCUCUGGCCUGCCCUGUCCAAGCAUGGAGUUGGGCUUCGUAGUCCAAGUGAAAAUUUGUUUAUUGAUGAUAUCUUGAUCUACUCCCGCAGCCGAGAGGAGCAUGAGCAGUACCUUCGGAUCGUUCUUCAGACUCUGAGAGAGAGCCAAUUAUAUGUUGUUUUC
rnacentral:SRP_RNA from 1 species